UUAUUUUUUUCACAUUGGGUACCAAAAAUAUCUUUUAUCCACUAGAAACAGUAUUUUCACACUUCUACAGUUCUCACUUCGGUCCUCUUCGACUCACCUACCCCAGUUGUUAGCUCCAUAUUGUCUCUUCCUGCAAAUGAAAGAUUUCGGGCAAUUUGAUAUUUGCAGUGCUCCUAUAUUAGGUCCUUGCAGAAAAACCAAUAUCUGAAGCUAAAGGUGAAUCUGCAUCUUCUCUUCUUGAUUCGUGUAAAUGUUAUUGUUGUUGUUCAUCAAAUUUCAAAGUAACCGAUUUAAACUGUUGAAGAUUGUCUUCCCAUUAAAUCUACUAUGUAGAUGUUGUACACUAUAUUGGUGGUCUACCCCUGCAAAAUGGUCUUGGCUACUGAAAUUGUGUUGCUAAAACUGCUAAACCCUGCAUUUCUUCUAUCUCAAUUUAUUUUAUUUUUCUAAAAGAUCAAGGGUCUACAAGUUCUGAAUGCUAACAUCUUUUCUGUUUCUAUGUGAACCUAUAUAAAGAUCUCCAAGUUUGCCCUGCAAAUGCAGGAUGCUUUGUCUUGGUAGCAUUGAUCCUCUCUUUUCUCUUAGCUUCUCAGCAGCUCAGAUACUAUACCAAACCAGCAGUGGGUAAUCACUCUAUGUAGACAUGGAGAAUUAAAAUACGCGCACUAUGAGUUUUGAACAUGUUUAAACUGACUGCUUAUAGCGAUUGUAUAAAGUAGUGCUCCUUCCAUUCUUCAAACUUAAAGCUGAUGGAAAGCGUCCUCAUGAAUAACUUCAACUUCCCAUGAGAUAGAAAGUUUCUAAAUUAGUAACUUCAAAUUCCCAUGAGAUUUAAACAAAUUGGUUUUCUGUCUUCUCCAGAUUCAUUUAUCUUGUGUUUUUUUUUGUUCAUCGCAUUAAAGUGCUUUUUUCUAUAAAGAUCAUCUCGACUUUAACUUCCGGUGAUUAAUUUCGUUUCAAUAAUUAUUAGUUUCUUUUAUUUGGGGUUAAAUUUGGGCACCAUGUAGAAAUGGGAGGAAGCAGUGAUAUUUAAUUUUUG